CAUAAAUCCUGCGUGCGCACCGAUUACAGCAGGAAAAGAAAAUUUAAAAAUUUAAAAAGUGGGGAGAGAGCUACAUCCUCAGCAGUGGACUACAACUUUAUACAGAAUUGCCACAUUGAGUCUGACUCUGGUUUCAAGAAGAGAUGAAUUUUUAUGAAGGGAAAGGACAGGUGAAUGCCACUGUUUUCCCCAAGAGGCACCUCUCCUGCAAAGCCUACAGAGUUCUUUGCUCCCACAUGAGGAUGGCUGCUUGAAAAGGAAACCUCUCUGCUUCUCUGGGCAAUGAAUACUUCCACAUCCUUCACCAGAAAAAACCCACUGUAUUUGUGUGAAACAAAUCCAUGUAAGAAAAGGAAGUCCUGAGAGACUCAGAACCAUCAAGAUCAGGAGGAGUUUUCUUUGCAAUUGUUCAAUUCUAGGAUUGUUUAAUGUGGGUGCCAAG